UUUUAUAUAGUUUAAAUAAAACAAUACAUUUUCAUUGUAUAAAUAAUUUAUAUUUUUAAUUUAUAAAUU
rnacentral:tRNA from 1 species